UAAUGUCUGGGAAACUGCCUGAUGGAGGGGGAUAACUACUGGAAACGGUAGCUAAUACCGCAUAACGUCGCAAGACCAAAUGGGGGACCUUCGGGCCUCAUGCCAUCAGAUGUGCCCAGAUGGGAUUAGCUAGUAGGUGGGGUAAUGGCUCACCUAGGCGACGAUCCCUAGCUGGUCUGAGAGGAUGACCAGCCACACUGGAACUGAGACACGGUCCAG
rnacentral:rRNA from 1 species